GAUGAACGCUGGCGGCGUGCCUAAUACAUGCAAGUCGAGCGAACAGACGAUGAGUUUGUUCCUCUGACGUUAGCGGCGGACGGGUGAGUAACACGUGGAUAACCCACCUAUAAGACUGGGAUAAUCUCGGGAAACCGGAGCUAAUACCGGAUAAUAUACUGAACCGUAUGGUUCAUUAGAGAAAGACGGUUGUGCUGUCUGUUCUAGAUGGAUCCGCGCCGCAUUAGCUAGUUGGUAAGGUAACGGCUUAUCAAGGCAACGAUGCGUAGCCGACCUGAGUGGGUGGUAGGCGGCACGGGAACUGGGACACGGUCCAGGGUCCUACGAGAGGCAGCAGUCGGGUAUCUUCCGCAGUAGGCGGAAGCCUGGCGGAACAACGCCGCGUGAGAGAUGAAGAUCUUCGGAGCGUGAAGCUCUGUUAUUAGGGAAGAACCGAUGUGUACGUAGCUAUGGACGUCUUGACGGUACCUGGUCAAAAAGCCACGGCUAACUACGUG
rnacentral:rRNA from 1 species